UACGUAGGGGGCUAGCGUUGUCCGGAAUCAUUGGGCGUAAAGAGCGUGUAGGCGGCCCGGUAAGUCCGCUGUGAAAGUCGGGGGCUCAACCCUCGAAUGCCGGUGGAUACUGCAGGGCUAGAGUCCGGAAGAGGCGAGUGGAAUUCCUGGUGUAGCGGUGAAAUGCGCAGAUAUCAGGAGGAACACCCGUGGCGAAGGCGGCUCUCUGGGACGGUACUGACGCUGAGACGCGAAAGCGUGGGGAGCGAACAGG
rnacentral:rRNA from 1 species